rnacentral:rRNA from 1 species
CGCGUGGGUAACCUGCCUAUCAGAGGGGAACAACAGUUAGAAAUGACUGCUAAUACCGCAUAUGCCUAAGGUACCACAUGGUACAAUAGGGAAAGGAGCAAUCCGCUGAUAGAUGGGCUUGCGUCUGAUUAGAUAGUUGGUGGGGUAACGGCCUACCAAGUCGACGAUCAGUAGCCGGACUGAGAGGUUGAACGGCCACAUUGGGACUGAGAUACGGCCCAGACUCCUACGGGAGGCAGCAGUCGGGAAUAUUGCGCAAUGGAGGAAACUCUGACGCAGUGACGCCGCGUGCAGGAAGAAGGUUUUCGGAUUGUAAACUGCUUUAGACAGGGAAGAAACAAGACAGUACCUGUAGAAUAAGCUCCGGCUAACUACGUG